CAGUAGUCACGAGUUUGAUCCGGCUCAGAACGAACGCUGGCGGCAGGCCUAACACAUGCAAGUCGAGCGGACCCUUCGGGGUUAGCGGCGGACGGGUUAGUAACGCGUGGGAACGUGCCCAAAGGUACGGAAUAGCCUCGGGAAACUGAGAGUAAUACCGUAUGUGCCCCUCGGGGGAAAGAUUUAUCGCCUUUGGAUCGGCCCGCGUUGGAUUAGGUAGUUGGUGGGGUAAUGGCCUACCAAGCCGACGAUCCAUAGCUGGUUUGAGAGGAUGAUCAGCAACACUGGGACUGAGACACGGCCCAGACUCCUACGGGAGGCAGCAGUGGGGAAUCUUAGACAAUGGGGGAAACCCUGAUCUAGCCAUGCCGCGUGGACGAUGAAGGCCUUAGGGUUGUAAAGUCCUUUCAGCUGGGAAGAUAAUGACGGUACCCAGUAAAGAAACCCCGGCUAACUCCGUG
rnacentral:rRNA from 1 species